rnacentral:rRNA from 1 species
CGAGAAAGCCCGCAAGGGUGAGUAAAGCGGCGAACGGGUGCGUAACACGUGGGUAAUCUGCCCUGGAGUCCGGAAUAACUUCCCGAAAGGGAUGCUAAUGCCGGAUGAGACCACGGGAGCUCCGGCUCCCGCGGGAAAAGGUGGCCUCUGUAUACAAGCUAUCACUCCUGGAUGAGCCCGCGGCCCAUCAGCUCGUUGGCGGGGUAACGGCCCACCAAGGCUACGACGGGUAGCUGGUCUGAGAGGACGAUCAGCCACACUGGAACUGAGACACGGUCCAGACUCCUACGGGAGGCAGCAGUGGGGAAUCUUGCGCAAUGGGCGAAAGCCUGACGCAGCAACGCCGCGUGUGUGAUGAAGGUCUUCGGAUCGUAAAGCACUGUCGCGAGGGACG